rnacentral:rRNA from 1 species
UGGGGAAUUUUGCACAAUGGGGGAAACCCUGAUGCAGCGACGCCGCGUGAUUUAGAAGGCCUUCGGGUUGUAAAAAUCUUUUCUAUGGGAAGAAAAUGACAGUACCAUAGGAAUAAGGACCGGCUAAUUACGUGCCAGCAGCCGCGGUAAUACGUAAGGUCCGAGCGUUGUCCGGAAUCAUUGGGCGUAAAGGGUACGUAGGCGGGUAAGCAAGUUAGAAGUGAAAUCCUGUAGCUCAACUACAGUAAGCUUUUAAAACUGCUCAUCUUGAGAUAUGGAAGGGAAAGUGGAAUUCCUAGUGUAGCGGUGAAAUGCGCAGAUAUUAGGAGGAAUACCGGUGGCGAAGGCGACUUUCUGGCCAUAAUCCGACGCUGAGGUACGAAAGCGUGGGUAGCAAACAGG